rnacentral:lncRNA from 1 species
GUGCCGAGAAGGAAGCUGCCAUCAUCCUGAAGGCUUAGGCCCAGAGCCUGCACAGUGUCACCUCUGCCAAGUUCUAUAAUUCAGAACGAGUCACAGGCCUGAGCCCAGAUCCCAUGUGGGAGGAUCUACACAAGGGUGUGAAUGCUGGGAGAUGUAGUUUGUCAGGAGGCAUCUUUGAAAGCUAGCUACCACCAUAGGAAAACUCAGCACAGACUUCAUCUCGCCCCCCCCAAACAUUCUUCCUAUAAAGAUUCCCUUUAAUAUCUCCAUGCUUUCCUAAUAUACUUAAGAGGAUUUUUUAGCAACUCUACGGCAAGACAAGUAAGAGACCAAAUUGACAACAACACUGACAGUCAAGGACUGAGUCAGUCAUCUUAGGAAACCAGAGUUCUCAACAAAAUAUUUUGUCCCUAGCCCUACCUGCUCAGCACCUUACUUUUAUCACAAUGAGAAUGCUCUCUAGAAGUUUCCUCAAGGGUUAGUUUUGUUCCAGGCUUUGGAACCCAUGCCACCAGAUGGUAGCCAUAGAAAUAUCAGAACUCGCCUUUGAAAUUGGAUUCCAAUCACCCAAGGAACCCAUCUUUAAUUUUAGACUUUGAGGUGGCCACAUAGCCAAACUUCUCCCUUCUCAAAAAGUCAACACGUUUACACAUAUCAUUUCUGGAGGAAGAUACCUUCAUCCUCGUCUUCAAAGAAUUCUCACAAUUUUCCAAGGAAAAUAAGUAUUCCAAAGCAAAAAAAAUUACUAUGUACACUCCAAGAAGCAAGGUACCAGCAGCAAAAACUAGCAGACAAAGAAGAUUAUACAAAUAGACUAAAAUUUUCCAGAACCAACAUAAGAGAGCAAACUAUGGAAUGAAGAAUUCCAAAGACUCCCAAGCAGAUACUGAAAUUAUUAGAUAUAUAUAGAAUAAUUAUGCUUAGUAAAUUCAGAAAAGUAAAAGACACACUUGUACGUAUCUGCAUGGAACAGAAGCUACAAAGACUAACCAAGUAGUUUGGAAAAUAAACAAAAUUAAAAUACAAAGUUAAAUAGAUAG